GCUAAGUCGGGUCGACGGUCGUCGGGAAUACGGGGGAUGUGAGCGUUAUUCGGAAUCAUUGGGGGUAAAGGGGUCGUAGGGGGUCUUGUAAGUCAGGGGUGAAAGUUGUUGGCUUAACCAAAAAAUUGCCAGUGAGACUGUAGGGCGUGAAUAUGUGAGAAGUAACUAGAAUUGGUAGUGUAGCGGUGAAAUGCGUAGAUAGUACAUGGAAUACCAAUGGCGAAGGCAGGUUACUAACAAAUGAUUGACGCUGAUGGACGAAAGCGUGGGUAGCGAACAGGAUUAGAUACCCCAGUAGUC
rnacentral:rRNA from 1 species